GGCUUCCCUGGUGGCGCAGUGGUUGAGAAUCUGCCUGCCAAUGCAGGAGACACGGGUUCGAACCCUGGUCUGGGAAGAUCCCACGUGCCGCGGAGCAACUAGGCCCGUGAGCCACAGCUACUGAGCCUGCGCGUCUGGAGCCUGUGCUCCGCAACAAGAGAGGCCGCGAUAGUAAGAGACCCGCGCACGGCGAUGAAGAGUGGCCCCCGCUCGCAGCAACUAGAGAAAGCCCUCGCACAGAAACGAAGACCCAACACAACCAAAAAUAAAUAAAUAAAUAAAAUUUAAUAUUAUUACAGGAUGAACUUAAAAGAAAAUUAGCUUUAGUCAACAGUUAUGGCGACCACAGAUAUGGGACCCAGAGUGGACUUCUCUCCUUUACCUGAACUGUACGAGGAACCAGAGCUUGUGCCCGUCUGCCUCCUCAGAGAGUCCAGACGAAUUUGGCCAAAGGCAUUCCAAUCCUGAAGUUAUAUAAACAGAAAGAAGUGGCUCAAAAAAGAUAAGGAG